rnacentral:tRNA from 1 species
GUAAGGUAAGCUAAAUAAGCUCUUGGGCCCAUACCCCAAUAAUGUUGGUUAAAAUCCUUCCUUUACUA